rnacentral:lncRNA from 1 species
AAAUUCUUAUGCCUUCUUUUUUUUAAUUAUGAGAACACUGAUCCUUAGAAAGUCUUUUUGGCUACCAUUAUCUUCUCUAAUAAUUUGAUUUCCUUUUCAAAACUCACACUGCUCAGAGAGGUGUCUCCACUCAUCCCCUUUUCCAAUACUCAUCAAUUCAAUACUCAUCAAUUCUUAUAAUCUGCACUAACUUUAUUUAAUUUAAAUCACUACAACUUGAAUAUGUGACUUUAAAAAUUACUCUAAUGUAAUUUAUCCAACAAAUUUUUUGAUCUUUUUUUAAUGUAGUGUUUGUCAGCUCCCACCAUAGAUGACUUCAAGCUGCCAAAAAUUUAACAAAUGGCUCAAAAAAUGUUGUACAUUUAACAAUAUUUCUUUUGAGCCUAUAAAAGCCAAAUUCAUCACACUACUGGCAGUGUUCACUCAGAUCUAGCGCUAGCUCCUAAGGAGCUUAUGGCCUGAUAACGGAGAUUGCAUUCAGUAGAGAAAAGCUAGGAGUCUAUUUUCUUUGACAAGGUCUUGGAAGCUCUGGAACCUUAGGUAUGAAUGUAACUGUUUUUUCCUUCUACAUAAGCAGCAAAGGUCAUUCAAGCAGAGGAGAUAGUGUGUUCAAAGGCAUGGAUGCAUGGAAUGCCAUGGCAUCAUUCUAUAUCCAAUGUGCAGUGGGAAGGGCUGUCAGAAAAGAGAGUUCAGCAGGCCUCAGAUCAUGGAGGUUUGUUUGUGUUCUAAUUGUUGUUCAAUUGUUCACUCAAUUGGAUCAACUACAUGACAACUAAGAUGUAUCUGCAGCUAAUUUUACCUGUAACACUUUGUCUCUUUAUUUUUAUCUAGAGCUAUAUCUAAAAAUCAGUGUAUUUUCCCAUCAUAUCUUCAAAACUCAUUUUGUUUUUCACCAUCUCUGGGAAGACAUUCUUGACUUCUUCCAUAUUAACUCCUGCUAUCUGCAUCCAAGCACAGUGAACCUCCUCUGCUUCUGGGUCCUUCCCAUGUGCCUCCAUGAAUGUAUUACCAACAUUGUCCAAAUAUGGCAUUCUGUAACAAACGUGGUAACAAAAACCAAGCCCCAAAGACUCCACUUACUGCUGUGCAUAGGUUGGUUAUGGAAUGUAGUGCAUGAAGAGCAUUUGCUUGCCUAAAAAUUGUUCAGACUCACAUUAGAGUGUCAAUUUCAUCAUACAUGUCUCUAAAUCACUAUAAAGUAUGAGCUUCUUGAGGACAGAAAUACUAUUUAUUCAUCCCUGCAUCCUCAUCUCCUGGCACAGAAUACAACCCACAGUGCAUGUGUUGAAUGAAUACAUAUAAAUAUGUGAUCGUUCUUAGCCAUCAGGUUACUAGUAUUCACUUUCUAUUUCUAUUCAAAUACAUAUAUAUCAAAUAAAUAUACAUAUAUACAUACACAUACCUAUAUAUCAAAUAGAAUAUAUACUUUUAUAUUUGAUAAAGUUUAAAAGUUAUACUUCAAAAGCUAUAAAUAUAUACUUUUUGAUAUCUAUUUGAAAUAUCAAAAAGUAUAUAUUUAUUUUUUUGUUCACUAGCAGAUAACUAUUUAAAAAAGAAGCAAUACAAAAUAGAGACUGUAUCUAUAUGAAUCACUCUACAAUUAAUUGUAUAUGGAUUUUAAUAUAUUUUAGAUCUAGCCUUUUUGUGGUUACUUUCAAGGGACCUUAGUAAGUUCAGAUUCUUAAAAUCACAUCAUGAGUCAUCACUGCCUUCUUUAUGGAAAUGCAAAAGCCUUAGAAAUGUGUUAAAAAUGGAAAAUGCUUGCUUUGGUUUUAUAUAAUACCUUUCAAUGUAAAGGACAUUAAUUUAAGUACCUGUUGUGCUUGGCUCCUUUGAGAGAAGUUGUGAGCAGGGCUUGUUUAUUGAGUCUGCAUUGUGUGUGAAACCCAUUACAUAUGUUCAUUUAAAAAGUCAGGCCUGUUGAGUUAUAAUUUGUAUAAACUAAAAGUCCGUGAUGAGUGUUCAUUUAAAAAGUCAGGUCUGUUGAGUUAUAAUUUGUAUAAACUAAAAGUCCGUGAUGAGUGUUCAUUUAAAAAGUCAGGCCUGCUGAGUUAUAAUUUGUAUAAACUAAAAGUCCGUGAUGAGUUUUGACAAUGUAAAUAGUUGUGUAACUACCAUAACAAUUAAGAUAGACAAAAAGCAUAUCACUCCUCGAAUUUCCCUUGUGCCCCUUUUUAGUCAGUCUGCUGUUCCCACUACCAAUCACUGGCAAAUAUGGAUCUAAUAUUUUCCUAAGGUUUUGUCUUUUCAGUAAUGUCACAUAAAAGAAAUAACACAGCAUGUAGUCACUUUGCCUGGCUUCUUCUACCAGAUGUUCUAAUGUAAUCAUUACUAGACCUUAUGAAGUAGGUUUUGUUAUUUUCAUUUUAUAGAUAAGAAAAUGAAGGCUUUGAGAAUUGAAGUGACCUACUCUCUCUAAGCCAGAUUUUAAUCCCCCAAAUUUCAUAAACUACAAUAGGCUAAAGAAGAUAAUACUUUGGGGAAGAUGUUGCUCAAAUCUCAUUACUUAAGUAUCUGCUGGAACCCAGCUAAUGCUGGCAUGCUGGAACAUAAAUGGAAGCUCAUUGAGUCAGCUCCAUCUGGUUUCAGAAUCUUGGCAUCUAACUCAACAUGUGCUUAAAAAAAUCAUGAAAGGAAACAAUUCAUGGUUAGCCACCAGGAGAUGGUCCUAAGGCUCUGUUGACCCUACUUCUUAAACUGAGAUUGAGUCAAUACAUUUAUGCUUUAGCUGAAAAAAAAAAAAGGUAUGAGGUGGAAAUCUUAAGGAACACACAUGAGAUAUGGAAAAUUAAUCCUCAAAGUACAAUAAUUACGGAGAAAGUUCCUAUACUGUAAAUGAGGAUGACAUAAUUAUUUACCAGCUUAGGUAUGUGCAUCCUUCUCUCUGUCUGAUAAAGGCCUAAGUCAAAUAUGUUCUGUUUUGAUUUUUAAAGAAAAUAAAAAAGGUGGCUGGGUGCGGUGGCUCACACCUGUAAUCCCAGCACUUUGGUAGGCCGAGUGGGUGGAUCGCAUGAGGUCAGGAGUUCGAGACCAGCCUGGUCAACAUGGUGAGACCCCAUCUCUACUAAAAAUGCAAAACAAUUAGCGAGGCAUGGUGGUGCAUACCUGUAGUCCCAGCUACUCGGUGGGCUGAGGCAGGAGAAUAGCUUGAAUCUGGGAGGCAGAGGUUGCAGUGAGCCGAGAUUAUGCCACUGCACUCCAGCCUGGAAAACACAGUGAGACUCUCUUUCCAAAAAUAAUAAUAUUAAUAAUAAUAUUAAUAAAUAAAAUAAGGACAUAAAGAUUUAGAACUCUAUACUAUGAAAAAAUAAUUUUAUGUAUCUCAGCUCUUUUAGCAAAGACUAUUAGGGUAAUCCCAUUAUAAUAAAAUAACUGUGGAAAAAGAUUAUCUCAGGAGAAAUUAUUUAGACUCUAGAAUGAAGAAUUUUCUUCAAUAAUUAAUUUUACUUGAUACCUCUUACUGACCGUACCAUACUGGCCUGAGAGUAAAGGGUGUUUCAAGACGUAAUCUGCUUCCUUGGAAAAAAAAAUCUAAAGUGUUUAUUAAGUGUUUUACUAUGUGUCCAGGCCGUGGGACUCCUAUACUUUUUAAGAGUUGGAAACUUUUAAUAUUUUCUUAGCCUCAAAUCAGACUGAGAUUAUGCAUGACUAUGGAAACAUGCUACUCUUGGAAGUGUUGGAAGUGUUGAAAAUCACAUGCUCCCUUUUCCACUUCAACUUAGAAGUUCCAGUGAUGUUGAACAAGUGAGUUUCCUCCCGGCUAAGACGGAGCCUCCUUCCUUCUAUUCACCUAUGGGUGCUAUCACUAAAGAUAGAAAGAGAUCUUUAUCUUUCUUGGUAUCCAAACAAUCGCCUUCACAAGAUCGUUUGUGCUCUUUGAAGACGCAACCACAUGCUAACUUUGCUUAGUCAAGUUUCUUAUUCUUACAAGGAUGGACUCCCUCAGGUAACAGGUGAUGCUCGUUGCCGAAUCAGGAAGCAGAUGAUGAAUCUGGUUGGUAAAACAACGAGGGAUGUUCAGGUGGCUUUGCUAUGAGAGCAGUCCAGGUGAGGAAGGACAUACUUCUUAGGUGUGACUGCUGUCUCCUGAGCACUGGUAUGAUACGGCCACAGUGAAUAGCCCUGCAGUUGGGCUAAUGGCUAAUGUCUCCUGCAACCCAAAUCUCAACUGAGACGAUUUCAGAAUGUAGCAAGUUGUCAGCUUCUUCUCAGUUAACACAUAAAAUGCAUACAGCCAAAUAUCUGGCAAAAGUUCAAGAGUUCAAUUUUCCUCAAUUACUGAUGCUUACAGGAUUUUUCUUAACAUAUUCUAAAUGAAUUAGCUCUGAAGAAUGACCCUGGCCAUAAUCACAGCACAGUGGGUAAGUGUUUAGACUUUUAUAUCAAUUAAACAUAACAUUCAUAUCCAAAGUGUUUUAGUGUAUCUGACAAUAAAACCUUUUCCACCAUUGCAGUCGUUUUUUCCCAUUUGAUUUUAUAACCACAUAUUUCUUGCUGAAGGAUAUCAAGGAGAUGUGGCCAAGACAUAAAACUCAUUUCAAAAAUUUUGAGUAUAUGAGUAGUUCCUGGAAUCCUGAUUAUUCCUUGUAGAGAAGGGACCUACAGAUGAAAGAACAAUAGCAAAAAUUCUAUAGCGGGACUCAAGGUAUAAAAGAAAUUCAGAGCUAAACAAUGGCAUUACUGUUCAAGGCCAAAAUUAUGCUUGAUGUAUAAGAUUUUUCUACAUUUUGUAGCCCAUGUGCUCCCUCCACCCCAGUUAUACAAAUGUGCAAGUAUCAUGUCUUCCUUUAGUGUUUAUUUGCUCUUUAAAUAUAAAUUAAGCUCCUAUAACUGAGAUUACUAAAUAAAGGAGAAAGCACAUUUUUGGUUUUACGGCACGGUGCUAUUUUUAUUUUGCAAAAGUUGGGAUCCAUUCACUCUCUUACCACCAUUGUGUGAAUGUCCCCAUUUCUCAUGUUUCCAUCUAGUUGAAGUAUUACUACUAGCAUGUAUAUGGAUUCCUACAGUAAUGUAAAAAAGUAAUGUAAUUCCUAAAAAUAAA